rnacentral:rRNA from 1 species
AGCGAACGCUGGCGGCAGGCUUAACACAUGCAAGUCGAGCGGAUGUAGCAAUACAUCAGCGGCAGACGGGAGAGUAACACGUGGGAACGCGCCCUUCGGUUCGGAAUAACUCAGGGAAACUUGAGCUAAUACCGGAUACGCCCUAACGGGGAAAGAUUUAUCGCCGAAGGAACGGCCCGCGUCCGAUUAGCUAGUUGGUGAGGUAAUGGCUCACCAAGGCGACGAUCGGUAGCUGGUCUGAGAGGAUGGCCAGCCUCACUGGGACUGAGACACGGCCCAGACUCCUACGGGAGGCAGCAGUGGGGAAUAUUGGACAAUGGGCGCAAGCCUGAUCCAGCCAUGCCGCGUGGAUGAUGAAGGCCUUAGGGUUGUAAAUUCCUUUUAACGGGGAAGAUAAUGACGGUACCCGUAGAAUAAGCCCCGGCUAACUUCGUGCCAGCCGCCGCAGUAA